CCUGUCUCCAAUAAAGGCAAAACGCACAUGUUUGUAAAUUAAAAGAUUCAAUGAUCCAUCUGGUUGUCAUGUAUUGCCGUUACACCUGAGCCACUUACAUUAGGGUUCAUCAAUUCCCAAUAUUUCCCAAAUGCAUUUCAAUUUUCCACUGUACAACCAAAAUUGAAACCUCUUUCAGUCUCUCCCUGUUCGUCUCAUCUUUGGAUGAAUAAAGGAAUUAUUGAAACAAUUUUAAAAAAUUUUGAAAAAAGAAGAGCCAUAUUUCGAGUUUUGUGCGUGAAUCUAAUAAAACUGUAAUCCACACACAAAAAAUGUGGAUUUGUUUCAUGUUAGAUUCACGCACAAACUCGUAAUCUGUCUUUCCAUUAAUUUCCCUGUCGUUUCUUCAUGUCGCUGUCCUUUUUUCUUUCUGGUCCCAAAGGGAUUGGCAAUUUUAAUCUAUAAUUUUGGAGAAGAAAAAGGAAAAAAAAAGAGAGACAGUAGCUGUUAUUAUCAAGCCUGACUGUGAGUUAAGGACAGAUCGAUCCUCUAAAUUUGAAGAUUCUUGCCCAAAAUUGGUGCAAUUAUAAAUGUGUUAGAAACUGAAAGGCAAGAAAUUAAUGGUGCUGCUGCAAACAACAUCAGAAAUUUUCGUCCCUGACCAUUAGUAUACACAGUUACACAUUUUAAGUUGCUUACUUAUGAAUAUCUAGCAAGAAUCCAUAAUGAUAGCUGACGUUUGCUACCCGGUUUCUACAAUGUACUUUCAGUAGGAUAUUCUGUGUUGUAAUAAAUAUGUCGAAUUGUGGGUGAAUUUGUUGCUAACAUUGAACACAACAUGAUUCUCUAUUGAUGAUCCUGAACUUUGACAUAUGAAACAGGGGUACCAUGGCUAUUUUGAAUCCAUGGUUGCCGCAUGAACAGGUUCUAUGACCUAGGGUGUGAGGUGCUCUCACCUCUUAGACAUCAUAAUCUCAUGGCCAAGCCUCCCAGGUACUAAAAGAAAAAAAGCGCGUCAUGGUGUGGAGUGUGGACCGACUUGCUUCACCAGUGUUAUUGGCCAGAAACCAUUAAUAAGCUUUAAAGGUACAGGACAUGACAUGAUAGUUCCUUCAUUGUCUCAAGUUUUGGAACAUCUCUAAUGCCAUAUCAACGCUUCAAAUCAUGGGGCAUAGGCAAAUUUCGAAUUAACUAAUCUAAAAUCUCGUACAUCACUUUAUUUUAUGAAAA